rnacentral:rRNA from 1 species
GUCUCUCUAUAAACAUAUCAGCAUUAUCAUUAUAUACAUNAGAUAUCAUGUUCCAUCGCGACGCCUAAGAACGCGGCGCAAAUGGGAUAGUA